rnacentral:rRNA from 1 species
GAUGAACGCUGGCGGCGUGCCUAAUACAUGCAAGUCGAGCGAACAGAUGAGGAGCUUGCUCCUCUGACGUUAGCGGCGGACGGGUGAGUAACACGUGGAUAACCUACCUAUAAGACUGGGAUAACUUCGGGAAACCGGAGCUAAUACCGGAUAAUAUAUUGAACCGCAUGGUUCAAUAGUGAAAGACGGUUUUGCUGUCACUUAUAGAUUGACCCGCGCCGCAUUAGCUAGUUGGUAAGGUAACGGCUUACCAAGGCAACGAUGCGUACCCGACCUGAGCGGGUGGUCGGCCACCCUGGAAGUGAGACACGGUCCAGACUCCUACGGGAGGCAGCAGUAGGGAAUCUUCCGCAAGGGGGGAAAGCCUGACAGAGCAACGCCGCGUGAGUGAUGAAGGUCUUCGGAUCGGAAAGCUCUGUUAUUAGGAGAGAACAAAUGUGUAAGUACCUGUGCACGUAUUGACAGUACCUAAUCAAAAAGCCACGGCUAACUACGUG